rnacentral:rRNA from 1 species
UACGUAGGGUGCAAGCGUUGUCCGGAAUUAUUGGGCGUAAAGAGCUUGUAGGCGGUUUGUCGCGUCUGCUGUGAAAUUUCGGGGCUCAACCCCGAACUUGCAGUGGGUACGGGCAGACUAGAGUGCGGUAGGGGAGACUGGAAUUCCUGGUGUAGCGGUGAAAUGCGCAGAUAUCAGGAGGAACACCGGUGGCGAAGGCGGGUCUCUGGGCCGUAACUGACGCUGAGGAGCGAAAGCGUGGGGAGCGAACGGG